GCAAAGGGUGUUUAGAUAGCUGCAGGUAGUUUGGUGCAGCUGAAACAGAUUUCAAUUAGGGUUCGGCUGCAGAUGGAAGCAGGGGGGCCUUGGAGUUUGCAUUUGGUUCUUUGGGAGUACGAAGCUAUUGUAAGGCCUUUGGCUGGAAGUAACAUGAUUCAGCAGUAUCCCUCAGGAAUGAGACAGGGACAAAGCUGGGGGGACUAGUGAGGAGAUGAACUAGAAUAAUGCAGAUUAAACUUGAUGAGAGUUGUAUUGAAGGAAUAUCCAGAGGAGAAGACUUUGAGAGAGAGAAUGCAGGCAGAACAAUAAGCCUAGAUGGAUACUCGGAUGUGAAGAGGGAAAGCACUUGAGCAUGACUCCCAGCUCAGUUAUGAUGUCAUUAAAUUUAUGACACUGGAAAUUUAGGGGAGAGUGGGCAGAUGGGAAAGGCAGAGAGCAGAGCAUAGUGAAGGCAGCUAAAUUCAAUUGGGGCAUGUUGAGAUUGAGUUCUCUGUGGUCAUUCAGACAGAACUGUCCACUAAGAAGAAAUGGAAUCUAUGGUUCUGCAGGUCAGAAUGGUCUGUACCAGAGAUGAAGUCAUCGGUCUACAGAUGAAUUGAGUGAAAGCAAUCACCCAGAGCCAGGCAAGGUGUCAGAGCUCCAACAUCAAAAGGUGGUUGACUGGUGGGUUGGUAAGAAGAAUUUACCACUGACCGUAUAGGACUGGAAAAGGAAAGGUUUAUUAGGUAGAAAGAACGCUGUCGAAGAGUGCAGCUGCAGCGGAGCACCUCAGCAAGAGAGGACUGAGUGCAACACAGUGGAUCCUUCCUCAGGGGUAUUUAUGGACCUUAAAGCCGGAGCUGAAGGGGUGGAGAAGGGCCUUUUCUUCUCUCUUCUAUGAAGACCACUCAUUGACGACAUCAUCGCAGGUCUGGUUUACUAUCCGAGCUCCAGGAGCCUCCUAUUUGCCAUGUCUGAUAAGGCUGAUGAAGGACCAUUUAUGCUGAAACCCAAAGGAGGAGGAGUUAGAAGGGCAGCUGCUUCUAAACAAGUGAACAAGGGGACAGUGGUGUGAGAUGAUGCACAUGAUCUGUGGAAGGGAGAGAGCAGCAUGCUGGAGGGGAUGAUUUGGCAAGUCCGCUGAAGAACACAAGCCUCGACUGCUCCCCGGCGUGGAAGAAGGAAGGCGAUAAAUACUGUAACGGAGGACGAGGAAGGAGCACUGAGUUCUAUGUGGAAAGAAAGGGUCAAAAAGAGGAAAACGCCUAUUCACAUGCAUGGCGUUUAACAGAUUUAUUAGGUUGUUUGCUGUGUGAUGUAAAUCUCCUCCUCUCUCUCCUUGAAAUUUCUUGAGUGAAUUCUACAUUGUUCAUUCAUUCAUGUUUAUGUGCCAGCAAGCUUUGGGAGCACUGUAAAAAUAAAAAAGGUUAGACCACUGUUAGACAUCUGGGAAACAUCUAUGUUAGAGAAGGACUAUAUAUUAAUUUAUCUCAUUUAUGGGAGGCAAAUACUAUGAUUAUUGAAGGUACAUCUCUUUCUUUAUGGAUGGAGUACAUCUUAUUUUUCUAAAAUUUGUAUUUGAACCUAUUUAUUUCUAAUUGUCAAAAAUGUGAAGUGAGAAACUUAAAAACUUUUUAGUUUCUCUUGUCCCACCAUUUUAUGUACUUCCAGGUUGUCAAAUAAUUUGGAAUUUUAGACUUAGAUAAUUCUCUAAUGUAUAUUAUAGAUCUUCUAUUUCAAUAAUUAGCUUAUAUUUUAAUUAAAUUGUAUAACUGCAUUAAAAUAUACUUAACUAUGUUUUUCUAGUUUUAUUAUUUGGUUUUUCAUUUAGGAAAUAUUUAUGUUUGUGUGUAUAUAUAGUUGCCCUUCUAGAAUUCUUUAGUUUGAUUGCAUCUCUAUAGACUAGAUAAUGGUAUCUGUCUUACUUAUUUAUUUAUUUUUAAGACAGUCUCAUUCUGUCACCCAGGCUGGAGUGCAGUGGCGCAAUCUCAGCUCACUAUGACCUCCACUUCCUGGGUUCAAGUGAUUCUCCUGCCUCAGCCUCUUGAGUAGCUGGGACUACAGGCAUGCACCAGCAUGCCCAGCUAAUUUUUGCAUUUUUAGUAGAGAUGGGUUUUCACCAUGUUGGUUGGCCAGGCUUGUCUGGAACUCCUGACCUCAGGGGAUCCUUCUGCCUCGGCCUCCCAAAGUGCUGGAAUUACAGGUGUGAGCCACCACGCCUGGCCAGUAUAUGUCUUUGGGUAAAAUUUUUUCAGAAAGAGUGAAUAAACCAUGAUAACUGAUCUUUACUUAGCACUUCCCAUGUGCCAGUCAUUAUUCUUUAUCUGUAUUAACUCAUUUAAUCUAGACAACAACCCCAUGAGUAAGUUACCACUACCCAGUAGUGGCUCUUGGGAUGGGUGGAAGGAAGGAUGACGAGGUAUAUGGAGAUCAAUCAGGAAGCGAUUACAAGAAACCUGGUGAGGGACAAGGGAGGCCUCAGUGAGAAAGAGACAGAUGUGAGAAAUGUCUGACAUCACCCAGAGAGUGAGCACAGGAUCCAAUAGGUAGUUUUUCAGCCCUUGCCCCUCCCUUCCCCUCUCACCCCUCUAGUUAGGAGUCACCAGUUCCUAUUGUUGCCAUCUUUUUGUCCACAAUUACCCAAUGUCUGGCUCCCACUUAUAAGUGAGAACUAACCCUUAACAUCCUCCACUUAUUGCAGUUAGAAAUCUCAUUGUGACGUCCACAAAGCAAGUGAAUAUUUGAAUAUUGGCUCAAUCAUUAACUAAUUUUGUGACCUUAGAAAAGUUACUUAGCCUUUCUGAGCCUCAUAAUCUUCAUCUGCAAAUGGAAAAAUAAUAAUUCCUGCCUCUCGUUGUUACUAUGAACACUGUAAUAUUGAAUAUAAUUAAAUACUCUUCCUCAUCCUUCUUAUAAUUGCUUGUGUUUGGGUAAGCUUGUCUACUAGACACAAGUUCCUCGAAGGCAGAAGUACUCUUCAGUGAAUCUUUACAAUACUCCAAGCACAUAAUACUCAA
rnacentral:lncRNA from 10 species